rnacentral:rRNA from 1 species
GUGAAAUUGUUGAAAGGGAAACGAUUAAAAGUCAGUCGUACUGACGAGAAAUCAAUCUUUUGAGUAUGAUUCUUGUGGGAUUUAAAAAUUUUGAUCCUGUGAAAUUUGUGCUCUUUUGGUGCAAUUUCUCGUAUUGUAGGUCAGUAUCGGUUUUGAUCGUUAUAAAAUGAUCGGAGGAAUGUAGCUUCUUUUUUGAAGUGUUAUAGCCUUUGGUAAAUGUAAUGAUUGGGACUGAGGAUUGCAACGGAUACCCUUAUGGGCUAUCUGUCUGGCCUCUGAUACGUUACUCUGGUAUCGAAAGCUUGCUUACGGUAUUAAAGUGUACGGUCAAAAGGUUAGAACGGAUUAAAUUCGUUAAGGAUGCUGACGUAAUGGCUUUAAACGAC